UAAGUGGUAGUUUAAUUAAAAACAGUAAGUUGCAAACUUAAAGAUGCAUGUUUAGCCUGCUUGU
rnacentral:tRNA from 1 species